UACGUAGGGUGCGAGCGUUGUCCGGAAUUACUGGGCGUAAAGAGCUCGUAGGUGGUUUGUCGCGUUGUUCGUGAAAUGCCACAGCUUAACUGUGGGCGUGCGGGCGAUACGGGCAGACUGGAGUACUGCAGGGGAGACUGGAAUUCCCGGUGUAGUGGUGGAAUGCGUAGAGAUCGGGAGGAACACCAGUGGCGAAGGCGGCUGCCUGGACCCUUGCCUGACGCUGAGGCGCGAAAGCGUGGGGAGCGAUCCGG
rnacentral:rRNA from 1 species